rnacentral:rRNA from 1 species
UACAGAGGGUGAGUGCGUUAAUCGGAAUUACUGGGCGUAAAGCGUGCGUAGACGGUCAUGUAAGUCGGGCGUGAAAUCCCCGGGCUCAACCUGGGAAUUGCAUUCGAGACUGCGUGGCUAGGGUGCGGAAGAGGGAAGCGGAAUUUCCGGUGUAGCGGUGAAAUGCGUAGAUAUCGGAAGGAACAUCAGUGGCGAAAGCGGCUUCCUGGUCCAGCACCGACGUUCAGGCACGAAAGCGUGGGGAGCAAACAGG